rnacentral:rRNA from 1 species
UCGACCAACGAACUUCGAACUUCGAGAAGGGAGGCAGCCGUCGAAGGUGGGGUCGGUAAUUGGGGUGAAGUCGUAACAAGGUAGCCGUAUCGGAAGGUGCGGCUGGAUCACCUCCUUU